CGUCAGAGGGGCGAAGGUCAGGACAUGGGAAAUUUCCAGGAUUGUGCCAUCUUUUUAGAGAUGGUGUUCGGGGAGGUUGCAGGAUGGAGCCAGUGGCGUCACUCCUGUGUUCUUUAUUUAGCGGGCCUUCUUGAAGUCUAUGGUUCGGGAUGACCCAGAGGAAGAGCUUUUUCCCAGCGAGCAUUCUUGCCCGCCAGUUAACACGAGGACUAAUGAGAGGAACAUGGAGUGGAAAAUGUUGGACAACAGGAAACAAAUAACACACGCUCAUCGCACAAGUUGUGAACCGGGCGCUGCAAUGUCACACUUGCAAGCAGCCGUUUGCUAACGGUGGGAAGUAACCAACUACAAAUACUUCAGCGGAUCUUCAGGUGUCUGUACUUGCUGAAUUUAUUUUUUGUCACUACUUUUUACUUUUACUCCCUGCAUUUGACAACAGAUAUCUAUACUUUUAGUUAAGGAGUUGAAUCAGUACUAAGUUGAAAGUUUUUUUUUUCACACAACUAUAUGUACUUCUCCUUUAGUAGAGUGUGAGUACUACCACUGCUAAUGAUGCACGUAAAGAUGUUUAACUUCCCUG